rnacentral:ncRNA from 1 species
CCCUCAGGCAUUUUCUGAAGCGGGGAAAAGGAAUCAACACGAUUUAGUAUCGGCGAGAGAAGCGGCAAUGCUCAAAUUGAAAUCCCCAGAGAAUUGUAGUUUAAAGGUGCUCUCAGUUAGUUCAAAAUUCUCAAAUCCAUUGGAAACGGCGCCAUGGAGGGUGGCGGCCCCGUAAGUAUUCUGACUGCUCUAUUUUCUUAGACCACCAAGAGUCGAAUGUAGCUCUAAGUGGAUUGUAAGUUCCAUCUUAAACUAAAUAUUGACAUCACACCGGCCGCGAACAAGUGCAGUGACGAAAAGGUAAAGCACUUUGAAAUAGAAGGGAAAAGCACGUGGAAUUUUUAAAAAGGAAGAGCUUGCACGCAGACACAACCUUGGUGACAAUCCACUCGCCUGUCUCGAGAGAUACUUAGCAAGCCAUGCCGAUGAUACAAAACAACCCCGCAAGAAAAGACGAGACUAUUCCUGGCCUCUGUUUCUUUUGUCAGAUAAGUCGGCAAAAGAAUCACUCGAUGGUUUAAGCACCAUUGCUACAUGCAGCGGGAUAUCUCUUUGUUCAUGGAUCUGGCCGCCGUAAAAACCAAUCGUCAAUAUAGCAGCCAAAAAUAACUCCCAACAAUCGAAAGCAAACACUACUCUAUUCAGUGAAGCAGAUCGCUGAUGAAAGCGCGAUGUGAUGGGUAAGAUGACUAUGCGAGCCAAUCAUGAAAUAGGC